UACGUAGGGGGCAAGCGUUAUCCGGAUUUACUGGGUGUAAAGGGAGCGUAGACGGCAGGGCAAGUCUGGAGUGAAAGGCGGGGGCUCAACCCCCGGACUGCUCUGGAAACUGCCAGGCUGGAGUGCAGGAGAGGUAAGUGGAAUUCCUAGUGUAGCGGUGAAAUGCGUAGAUAUUAGGAGGAACACCAGUGGCGAAGGCGGCUUACUGGACUGUAACUGACGUUGAGGCUCGAAAGCGUGGGGAGCAAACAGG
rnacentral:rRNA from 1 species